GCCAGCUGCUCGUUCUCGUUGAAGAAAUUGUCCACGUUCUUGUCCAGCACCAGCCUCCCCACGGGCUGGAGUGGCAGCAGAUCCUCCGGCCAUGUCUUGGUGUCGUCGAGCGGGUCGAAAUCGUACUGGUCCUCCGUGUCCGGGUCCAUCACCUGCACGAACAGCUUCCACUCCGGGAAGCUGCCGGCGGCGAUGGAGUCGUAGAGGUCCUGCGUGGCGUGGCUGUGGUUCCUCCCGCCGACCAACGCCGCUUCCUCGUCGGUGAGGAUGCUCCGGACGCCGCACGUCGGCUUCCAGUGGAACUUGACGUAGUGGGACUUGCCGGCGGCGUUGACGAAGGUGUAGGUGUUGACGCCGAAGCCUUCCAUGUGGCGGUAGUCCGUCGGCACGCCGACGUCGUCGAAGAGGAAGAAGAAGGUGUGGAGGCUCUCGGGGAGAUGCGACAAAAAAUCGAACACGCGCCAGUACUCCUGCACAUGCGAUCUCGGGUUGGGCUUGAACGCGUGGAUCACGUCGGGGAACUUGAUCCCGUCGCGGAUGAAGAAGACGGGGAAGUUGUUGCCCAGGAGGUCCCAGUUGCCCUCCCUGGUGUAGAACUUGACGGCGAACCCGCGCGGGUCGCGGAUCGUCUCCGGCGAGCCGCGCUCGUGGAUCACCGUGGAGAAGCGGACGAUGACGGGGGUCCGGACGCCCGGGGAGCGGAGGAAGUCGGCGCAGGUCAGCGACGCCACGUCGUGGGUGCACUCGAAGAAGCCCUUGGCGGAGGCGCCGCGCGCGUGGACGACGCGCUCCGGGAUGCGCUCCCGGGCGAAGUGCGCCACCUUCUCGAUCAGGUGGUAGUCCUCCAGCAGGAUCGGCCCGCGCGGGCCCACCGUCAGCGCCUCGUUGUCGUUCCACACCGGCGCUCCGGCGUUCGUCGUCGUCACCGUCGUGUCGUGGCUGCUCGACGGACGGAACUGCAUGAUGCAUAUAUAUAUAUAUAUAUAUAUAUGUCCAUUAUUCAUUCGCGAGUGCAUGAACAGGGCAUCAUGCAUGCAUCCAUCAUACAGUAGUAUAUAUGAUAUGAUUUCUAUAUAUGUAUAUAUAUAAGUUUAUAAAAAUCAACAAAUUAAAGUAGCUUCAUUAGAUAGGUAUCCAUGGAGCAGCUAUAGGAAUAAUUAAGAAGCUUGAGCUCACCUUGGUGGGAUCCAUUAUUGUGAUUCGGCUAGUGAAGUGUGCAGUGUUGUAGAUGAG
rnacentral:lncRNA from 1 species